UGUGGCUAGUGGCAACAGCUGCGUUUGCUCCUUGUCCGUAAAAGACGCUUCUCUAAAAGCACGAGACGCCCGCGCCAAUGGACGGUUCUUCGUACUUUUUUUUUUGAAUGGGUCUCGUGUUGCCGGUUGUCUAGCUUUGGGAUUCCAUUUCUAAGGGCUUGCAAUGGAAUUUUGAGAGGAUUGCUGGAAGCGUGCAGAAUAGGCUUCAAGAGAAUUCGUUCCUUUGUGGCCGCAUUUGAACACAAUCCUUCUCGGCCAGACAAAGGCCAUCUCAUGACGGGCAGCAAAUGCAAACAGACAUUGAGGCAGGUCAAUGGUCCAAAUCGAAGAACUUCGCGUUUUCGGAAGCGGUAUUUGAUCUUGUCCCUCGACCUCUGAUGACUUUCCGCUUGAAGGAUGAACUUGGGCGGACAAAAGGGGCCGUGGUGACCCUGGAGCACUCUUUGAAAUUGGCGCCAAAUUGCGCGGCGGUCCAUCUUGAAGUGUAAGCUGGCGUAAGGAAGAAUGUGGGUGGGCGUCGAAUCCAAAUUCCAAUUGUGACCCUGGCUUUGUGGUAGUCUCCCCAUUCUCAAGAGAGGUGCCUGCAGGAUUAUCGCCUUGCUUCAUUGCCCAAGACUCGGCCAUCAGAUCUGAAGAUGACAAGAUUUACUUUAACGCAAAAUCCAUCAAUCAUGGAGGUUUUUUUCCUCUCGCCAGAAAAAAAGGAACUUCUCCCAAGGCCCUGAGAGUACCAGAAAGAGCGAUAAGCUGGGCUUGAGUAUCUUUAAAGACAAGUGAAAACGACCUUCGGAAACUGUAAAGAACAAGAACCACCAAGGCCGAGAGAAAAUGCGAAAGGACAGAUUCAAUCGAGAUCUACUUUACUGUGGUAUGUGGUAUAAUCAACUGUCCCAUCUCCGCAUCUAGAGGGCACUCGACUCGUUAUCAGAAUCCAUCUCAUUUUCCGAUAAUGCCCCAGCUCCUCCUUUGUGUGCUCACCCAUUUCCCUCGCGCCCAAGGUGUUGGGCCUCGGCAAAAAGAAAAGCCAACUGGAAGAUUUGGCCUUCUCAACCUCAUUCUCUGCGUUGUCAGGGGCCCUGAGCAAGAAAGAAAAGUGGAGGCAGAAGACGGACCAUUUAUCAUUUUGCCGAUGCUUGAUGGACGAACCCAAUGUAACGAAGUGCUUGUCAAAUUGAUAUCUGACAGCCUCCAACUGGUUCGGUUGAGGAUGAGUGCCCAUUUUUUGCACUGUGAGACCUUAGCCAAGGUUUUUUGGCACGGCUAUGAAGGCUUCAGUCUUCAAUCUCAUGACCGGAUCGAGAGCAUGGUUAUCGAGAACCAAGGGAACAGGGAAAGGGACUCCUUGGCGGUCUACCUUUCUGGUGGAUAGUGACUUUGGGAACUGCGAUCCGGGAAACCUUGGUUUCAAGGAGAUUCAGGAGAGUCCCACCAAUGGGUGCGAAGGUGAAUGGGGAGGUAAUAUUAAACUUGGCCUAGCUCCAAACCCUGCCAGACAAGAGACUGAUAAUGGAAAUAGAACAGCUCGAAAAUUGGAGCCAAUCUUGGUGGGUUCUAGUCUCUUGCAACCAUUUGAUGGUGUGCGGUUCUCGACCAUAUCAAUGCCUUGGUUGGAUGGCGGGAGUUUUGAACACUUAAUGGAUCUAAGACGAGCUAACGGGGAACGUCGGUCUCUGUUCAAAUAUUCAUGGCUUGAUGGUUCAUGUCAAAAGCAAUUGCCUCUACAAAGUAGAGUAACUGAUGCUCUUCAGAACAAUAUAACUAGAGGCAAUUUUCAUGAGUUUUCAAGUCAACAUUAAAGUUUUAUUUCUGUUUGGAGCCGAGGGAAACUUGCCUAACGGCAGGACAAUCGAAAAUUGUGGUAUGCCAUGGGAAAUGGCACGUUCCUGUGACAUUUCUUGCUACUAUUUAUAUCACUGAAAUAUUGGACUCCCUUUGCUUCAGUGGCCAUUCUGUUUUAGUUGUUACUACGUUAAUGCAAAGUUAACCAAGCAAGUUGAAAGAGUUGACCACGUCUUUUUUAGGACACUUUCGUAUCUCAUGAAUCAUUUUUCCUGCCAAAAGAGACGGAAACUGCAUCGCUCUCUAAUCCUCCCGAGUCUUGAAUGAGAACGGAGCGAACAUUUAACAAAUGGUCCAAUACUGAAGGUUGAGGCCGCCCACGAGAUUAUUGGAAUCAAGACGGAUGCCCUGGACACUUUCAAUUGUGGGAGGAAAUGAAUUAGAACAAGACAAAGUGUGGAGACAAAAGGCUUUCUCUCUAUCUAGUAGACAUUGUAGAAAGACCUUGGUCAUGGAAAUGGCCGUGAAGAAUGAUAAUCCAUCAUUAUAGACAUUUCUUGCGGCCUCAUCGUCCCAUAAAUACACUAGAAUAAAAGCCUGCCUUCGAUCAAGCUAGGCAAGUGCCUU